rnacentral:rRNA from 1 species
CGGCCACACUGGAACUGAGACACGGUCCAGACUCCUACGGGAGGCAGCAGUGGGGAAUCUUGCACAAUGGACGAAAGUCUGAUGCAGCAACGCCGCGUGGGGGAUGAAGCUUUUCGGAGUGUAAACCCCUUUCGACCCGGAAGAAAGCCCGCAAGGGUUUGACGGUACGGGUAUAAGAAGCCCCGGCUAACUACGUGCCAGCAGCCGCGGUAAAACGUAGGGGGCCAGCGUUGCUCGGAAUUACUGGGCGUAAAGGGUCCGUAGGCGGCGUGGCAAGUCGGUAGUGAAAUCUCUGGGCUUAACCCAGAGGCUGCUGCCGAAACUGCCGUGCUAGAGUGUGAGAGAGGCGAGUGGAAUUACGGGUGUAGCGGUGAAAUGCGUAGAUAUCCGUAGGAACAUCCGAGGCGAAGGCGGCUCGCUGGAUCACAACUGACGCUGAGGGACGAAAGCUAGGGGAGCAAACAGGAUUAGAUACCCUGGUAGUCCUAGCCCUAAACCAUCAGGACUUGGGGUGUGCCCUGUACGGGGCACGUCCCGUAGCUAACGCGUUAAGUCCUGCGCCUGGGGAGUACGGUCGCAAGGCUGAAACUCAAAGGAAUGACGAAGGCG